UACGUAGGGCGCGAGCGUUGUCCGGAAUUAUUGGGCGUAAAGAGCUCGUAGGCGGUUUGUCGCGUCUGUCGUGAAAGCUUGGGGCUUAACCCCAAGUCUGCGGUGGAUACGGGCAGACUAGAGGCAGGUAGGGGAGAACGGAAUUCCCGGUGUAGCGGUGAAAUGCGCAGAUAUCGGGAGGAACACCGGUGGCGAAGGCGGUUCUCUGGGCCUGUACUGACGCUGAGGAGCGAAAGCGUGGGGAGCGAACAGG
rnacentral:rRNA from 1 species